rnacentral:rRNA from 1 species
CCUACGGGUGGCAGCAGUGGGGAAUAUUGGGCAAUGGAGGAAACUCUGACCCAGCAACGCCGCGUGAAUGAUGAAGGCCUUCGGAUUGUAAAGUUCUUUUCUAAGGGAAGAAGAAAGUGACGGUACCUUAGGAAUAAGCCUCUGCUAACUACGAGCCAGCAGCCGCGGUAAUACGUAGGAGGCGAUCGUUAUCCGGAAUGACUGGGCGUAAAGGGUGCGUAGGUGGUUUGGCAAGUUAGUAGCGAAACGCCGAGGCUCAACCUUGGAACUACUACUAAAACUGUUGGACUUGAGUGCAGGAGGGGCAAGCGGAAUGUCUAGUGUAGCGGUGGAAUGCGUAGAUAUUAGAAGGAACACCAGUGGCGAAGGCAGGUUGCUAGACUGUAACUGACACUGAGGCACGAAAGCGUGGGGAGCAAACAGGAUUAGAUACCCGGGUAGUC